rnacentral:rRNA from 1 species
AGGAGACAAACGUUAUCCGGAGUUACUGGGCGUAAAGGGCGUGUAGGUGGUUUUGUAAGUCUGGCGUGAAAUUUCUCGGCUUAACCGAGGCAGGUCGUCGGAUACUAUAAGACUAGAGGACGGUAGAGGCGUGUGGAAUUCCGGGUGUAGUGGUGAAAUGCGUAGAGAUCCGGAGGAACACCAGUGGCGAAGGCGACACGCUGGGCCGUACCUGACACUGAUGCGCGACAGCAUGGGGAGCAAACAGG